CAACCUCUGGGUGAGACGAUACAGCCGCCUGAUAUGUUGCCGUCCCCUCGGCUUGCUCAACGCUUGUUUUACUUUCAUCCGACCCACCCGGAAGAAUCUUCAUCGUCUUCUCAAGCUGAAACCUUUGGUCCACCCUCUUCAAGAAAUAUCCAUACAUCACAGAAGCAGCGUAAACUUGGCCAACUCUGAGCUUGCUUAUCUGUGCAACAGAGUUCAGAUCACCCAUUCUGCUUCCAAGAAUCAAGGCAAGAUGGUUGUGAAUCAUCUCGUACAUCUCGGGCGAGUGAAGCCGCUCGAGUUUCUCCACUUUGGUCGGCCAAGUAUCAACCCGACCAGACGGAUCUGAAGAUGGGCUUACUGAAGGUACAAGUGAUACGUUAGCUUCCAUGAACUUUUGAACCACCAAUGCAUACAAAAUCUCUUCCAAUGUUCUUCUUCUCUCGUUUUCCUUCAACUCCGCAAUUCUCCUAAACACCAACAAAACAUUACUCAUUCAGAAUCAAACUCAUGUACAACUUCCAAUCUAUCGUAUAUACAAACAGAUAAUGAGUAAUCCUUAAAUUUUAGUUAUCAUUUAUCUAGACACAGAGAAAAGUU